GAUGCGAUGAGACGGUGGAGAGGAAGGAAAGCACUCCUGAAGGUGGCCCUGGACGGGAUUUGGAGCAUUAAGAGGGACCUCUCCGCGGGCGUGCAGCCGGGACUGCCGAGAGGGAGCGGGCUCCUGCCGCAAGCCAAGUACUACUCGAGGCACGGGGGGCCGAGAAGAUAAGAGGAAUACAUUUUUCCUUUGAGAAGAAACCUCUUUCUCCUGAUGUCUGAAAAAAGAAGAAAGUCAAGCUUAUUCCACAGUUUAAAACAUGUAAAAAAUGUAGAUUAGUCUGUAAUUCCUGUUAGUGGUAUUAGUCCCUAUCUAUAAAUUAACCCAAAGAGAUGAAAGACUACUGGUGUGCUAAGCACCCGAAAACAAAGGAGAAUCCACUUACUUUCAGUUGUCACAGUUGGAAUACAUCGGGCCUCUAAUUCAGCUUAUCCUAUUAAAUAUGUGAAACAAUAGUGAAACAAAGCCAUG
rnacentral:lncRNA from 1 species